GCACAAGCGGUGGAUCAUGUGUUUAAUUCGAUGAUACGCGAAGAACCUUACCAGGUCUUGACAUCCCCUGCAAAGCUAUGGAGACAUAGUGGAGGUUAUCAGGGAGACAGGUGGUGCAUGGUUGUCGUCAGCUCGUGUCGUGAGAUGUUGGGUUAAGUCCCGCAACGAGCGCAACCCUUAUUGCUAGUUACCAUCAUUGAGUUGGGGACUCUAGCGAGACUGCCAGUGAUAAACUGGAGGAAGUGGGGAUGACGUCAAAUCAUCAUGCCCCUUAUGACCUGGGCUACAAACGUGAUACAAUGGCUGAAACAAAGGGCAGCGAAGCAGUGAUGUGGAGCGAAACCCAAAAAGCAGUCUCAGUUCGGAUUGAAGUCUGCAACUCGACUUCAUGAAGUCGGAAUCGCUAGUAAUCGCGGAUCAGCACGCCGCGGUGAAUACGUUCCCGGGCCUU
rnacentral:rRNA from 1 species